AGGAACGCGGGAACCGGCACAGGGAGGUUAUCCCGAGGCAAUUCCAGCUGGAAGAUGUCCCUGAGGUCCCUGCGGGCGCUGCCGCUGCUGCUGGCCUGGCUGGGCCUGGUGUGCGCGGAGGAGAGCGGCCCGGGUGUCCCCGCGCUGCAGCGCCGUUACUCCGAGGCCACCCUGGCCAGUGACUACAGCCGCACCAUGGACCACGUGCUCAGGAAGAAUUUCGUCGAGUGGCUGCUGGCCCGGAGGGAGAAGAAGAGCC